UGUAGAUUUAUUCCUGGAGCUUCAAGGAUGAGCUAUCUUGUUCUUCUUUGAUUUCCCGCAAACCUCAGCGCCGAACCUUUCCUCGAUUCCUCCUCUUCCUCUUGUGGCGCUGUGCCCUAGCCGGAUCUUGGAGGUAAGGCAUCGUACUCUGUGGGUUGUUGAGAUGUUGUGUGACCGAUUCUUCUUUUCCCUUGCUCGCCAGAGACGUUUGAUUGUUGAGGUAAUCUGGUGGGGGAGUCUUCUUCCGGCAGCAACCAUCUAUGGUUGAGGAUCAGCAGAAAGUGAACUGUUGAUUGCCUCUAAACCUUACGUGAGAAAGAUUCCAGCAGGGAAGUUUAGUUCUGUGGUGUUCUUUGGUCCCAUCAACUACUCUUUCAUGGCAGUAACGAUUCUGGAUUGGGGAUCAACAGAAGGGGCUGAGCUUGAGUUAAGAUUGGGAGGCCAGGGUAUAGGGUCUCAAAGCAAUUUGAUCCAGAGACAAAACAACGGUCUCUUCUGUUUCAGCCAACCCUUUGUUUCAAAGUAUUUUGAUGUUAUUGAUCCUUCAAGGACGAACAACAAUCUUUGACAAAAUUUCAGAACAAGGU